AGUGAACGCUGGCGGUAGGCCUAACACAUGCAAGUCGAACGGCAGCACAGUAAGAGCUUGCUCUUACGGGUGGCGAGUGGCGGACGGGUGAGGAAUACAUCGGAAUCUACUUUUUCGUGGGGGAUAAUGUAGGGAAACUUACGCUAAUACCGCAUACGACCUACGGGUGAAAGCAGGGGAUCUUCGGACCUUGCGCGAUUGAAUGAGCCGAUGUCGGAUUAGCUAGUUGGCGGGGUAAAGGCCCACCAAGGCGACGAUCCGUAGCUGGUCUGAGAGGAUGGUCAGCCACACUGGAACUGAGACACGGUCCAGACUCCUACGGGAGGCGGCAGUGGGGAAUAUUGGACAAUGGGCGCAAGCCUGAUCCAGCCAUACCGCGUGGGUGAAGAAGGCCUUCGGGUUGUAAAGCCCUUUUGUUGGGAAAGAAAAGCAGCAGGUUAAUACCCCGCUGUUCUGACGGUACCCAAAGAAUAAGCACCGGCUAACUUCGUG
rnacentral:rRNA from 1 species